rnacentral:lncRNA from 1 species
AUUAGGCUAAGGGUGUGGCCAGUCACAGGUUCCCCAGGCUGGAAGAUUCUUCAGACGUGGGUCCCUCUCUCUGGUAGGUCUGGGUUUACUAGAAUGCAUCUCAAACUCCAAUAAGCAAGGUCUGACUUUUCAGGGAGAUCUUAAGGGUAAGGAGGGCCAGGGAGGGUAUUUCACCUGAGAUCCCAGCCAGUCCUUCCAACAGCCAGAUGCUGCUACUAAUCCCACAGCACGUUCAAAGGGACAAAAGGGGACCAGUGACAACUGAUUAAAGGAAAAUGUGAUCCUGAGUGACCCAGGACCUUGGGACUCUGAGGGGGAACCAAAGAGCUUAACUGGUUUAAAAACUUAAAAGGAUCGGCCAGGCUUGGUGGCUCACACCUGUAAUCCCAGCACUUUCAGAGGCCCAGGCGGGUGGAUCACACGAGGUCAGGAGUUUGAGACCAGCCUGGCCAAUAUGGUAAAACCACGUCUCUAACUGAAAAUACAAAAAUUAGCCAGGCGUGGUGGUGUGCACCUGUAGUCCCAGCUACAGGGAGGGUGAAGCAGGACAACCACUUGGACCCCAGAAGUGGAGGUUGCAGUUUGCAGAGAUCAUGCCACUACACUCCAGCCUGGGGGACAAAGUGAGACUGUCUCAAAAAAACAAAAAAGAGAGCUUUCCAAUGACACACACACCCCGCCCCAUUUCUCCCCCAGCCCAGCUCACAGCCAAUUACUAAAUAGUGGAAAGGAGGCUACUUAAAAAGAAGUUCCCUAUUUUCCUGUGGGGGUUACUGGGCUUUUUAGUAGGCCACUCACCCACUACCCUCGCACCAAUCCCCCAAAGUCCGUACCCUACUUGAAGAUUAUGCUGUAAUUAUGGGUGCUGUGUUUAUAGACCACAGAUUUAACAGAACAAGCCCACAGAACACCCAUCUUUUUUCCCCAAUCAAGAUUUUUUUAUUCACAAAAGAACCACAACAAUUUAGAGCUUCUCCAUUUUUAUUACACAAAAUUGUUAAGUUUUCAGCAGUAGGGCUUCUCAAAACACCAGCUGCAGGCUAUUACCUGAAAAAGACAAGGCAGUUAUAUUAGGUUCUCGUGUAAAUAUGAAUAUACAAUCAAGUCAAGCUCCUGACAAAUUAUACAUCAAGGAUGUAUAUAGUUCAAAGAUAUUGUGCUGUUACCUCCCACCUCCCCAAAACUCCAAGAACUAGCACCUGCAGAGAAAAGGAGAAAUACAGAAAGAGUCCUGAAGACAGAUUAGUAGUCAAAGCAAAGACGCCGCAGGGAUUUGAACCCCGUCCUGGAAACCAGGAGUGCCAACCACCAGCAUCUUUUGCUUUUUUUUUUUUUAAGCUAGAAAAAGGCCAAAAAGCAAAACCUGAGAAAACAAUACGUGUUGUUUUCUCAGGAAAAGAAAAACCUUCAUGACCCUACUGAAGAGCAUUGGAGAUCAGCUUCCGCUAAGAUGCUAGCUUGGCCAAGUCUGUUAUGUUCACCUGAAAAAGUCUUAGCAGAGAAUUUUUGCAUUCCCACCCAAAAGCCCUCUCAGCCACUCAAAUGCCUAUCUUCUCCAGUCUACAAGUUACAUGUUCCCACCCAGCAUUACAGUUCUUGAACAUGUUAUUUCUCCACUUACUGGUUUAAGUUGGUUUUAGUCACUGGAUAAGUAUUAUAAUAGAGCUACUUAGCUGUGGUUUUAAUACCCUUCUGUUAACAAUUUGCAGGCAAAUUAAUGGCCUUUUCUAACAUAGUUCAACCCACCAAAGACCUCGACACCAUCGUUACCUUGAAACCGAUUAUGGAUCAUGCCCACAAGGAUCCAAGCUACUGGCUGCAUCGAGGUGAGGGGUGAAGGGUCUGUGCUAGAUCAAAAGGCACGGGGUGGCGAUGUGGCAGAGAAGUUGCUUGUGGGGAGACCUUGCUUUUAACAGGCUUCUGGAAAAGCUAGGGAAAAGUGGUUGCCCGCUUUCCCCCUUUCCCUCCCCUUCAAGCACCGCUUGAGAUUUGGGCUUUAUUAUUAAGAGCUGCUAUAAAAACAGCUUGCUUAAAUGUUAAGAGAAGCCCAGGGGUACUUCAAGCAUUCCUUCGGAUGCUUCACUCCAGAAAGAGGGAGUUGAGGCAAGUCCUCAUUACUAAUAAAAAUCAGGUGAGGCUGACACUUCUCUUGACCUUAGGAUAAUAGCGCUUUGUUGUCUCUCCUGCCACAGGAAGGCUCCAUGGUUGUCCUACUUUAAGCCUUCGGUGCCUUUAGUGAGGGGUACCUGAAAAAUCUUAAAAAAAGGCUUAGCGCCCACCUCACCCCUCCACCCCCACGCCAACACAGUUUGCUCACAUGCCAGUUACUCCAGCAUAAAGCUGAAAUCUAUUCAAUACUAUUGUCCCAUAACUGAUCUGACUUUGUAUGUAAAUACAGAAAAAGCUUGUUCACCUGUUUUCCUCAUUUUGUCCACUGGUGAAUUCAACUGGAAGCUCCUUCUAUAGUCUGAAGAAUACCAUCUGAAAGAACUAGUGGUUCCCAAUCCCCACAUUUAAAAUGGAAUGUUUGGUUUAUUUAAAGUAAAUAGGCUAUUUUUUCUUACUGGGUCUGGCUUCUCUGGCCCUUCGCAUACGUGUGUCUGCUGAGUGUUCCUGCAUGUAAGAAUUAAGACCAAGGGAGGGGAGAGAGAAACCCACACAUAAACAAUGCACUAAAGAUCACUGAACUGUUUAAACAUUUCCACUUGCCAGUUUAAUUUCUUGAAGACUGUUGCUUGUUUGGAAUGUUUCUUGUCACUGAUUUUAAGGUUGCAUCUGGAAAAGACUAAAGGCUUCAGUCCCCUCCCACCACCAGAAAUGAACAAAAAGCAUUUUACCUAAAAAUACACCAGCAAAAUGUACUCAGCUUCAAUCACAAAUACGACUGCUUAAAACUGCAGAAAUUUCCUCAACACUCAGCCUUUAUCACUCAGCUGGAUUUUUUCCUUCAACAAUCACUACUCCAAGCAUUGGGGAACACAACUUUUAAUCAUACUCCAGUCGUUUCACAAUGCAUUCUAAUAGCAGCGGGAUCAGAACAGUACUGCAUUUACUUGCCAACAGAACAGACAGACCUGAAGUCAAGACAACUGCAUUCUCUGUGAAGUCUGUAAAAAAAAAAAAAGCUACAACAAGUAAGCCCCACCCCCUCCUCCCAUCCCUCCAAAUUCCAGGAAAAAAAUUUUGAGUAUGCUGAUAAACUCACUGCAAGGUCUCAUACACUCACUAGAACAGAAGGAAGAGCCAAGCACUCAUAUGCAAUUCAAAAUCCUGAAUGGCUUCAUGAAGGAUGAAAUGCCUCUGCAAAGGAAAAUUCUUUAAAACCCCACAGGCACCCCCUCCCUUCCCUAUAUAAGGUCAAUAGUGUAAAACAUUGCCUACCACUCUAAGAUUGUAAGCAUUUAAAGUUAACAUGCAAACUUUGGAAAUGUGAAAAAGUAUUACUCUAAUCACUGUCAAUUUAUAGACCCCUGACUUUCUGGAAAUAAAAUGUGUAAUUACCUUUUACUCUGAUCAUAAUCUCCCACCUGUCUAAGAGGUUAUUUAUUCCUUAUUUAGAGGGCCUCUAUUGCCAUGUGCCUGGAAUUAUUAUAUGCUCAUCACUUUAUGAAGAAUAAAAUUUGUCUUUCCUGCCUUAAAGUUACAUUCGUUCUUCCGCUCAAAUCCUGAUCUGGUCCAUUAAAGAGUGUUCGCAGACAAAGUUUCUGAAAGAUUAGAGAAGAAUCCCCCCCAAGAUUGCCCCAACACUGAACUACAGACAAACACUAUUUUAUUUAAAUAAGGAGACAGCUUUCUAAAAGUAUACAUUCUCUAAUAAAAAUAGUUUAUUAUUUUGAAUGAUUUAAUGGUUUUCUACACAAUUUACAUCACAACAUGUAAAUUUUAGCAGUAACAUCUGAUUCUAACAGCACAUCAUGCUAUUCCUUUCAUAGAGCCUUCAGAGAUUCAAUGCUAAACAAAUUUCCUUAGUUGGCAUCAAGGCACUGAUCACUUUAGAGGCUUUUAAGAAAUUAUUUAAAGAUGCAAAUGCCUCUGAGUGAAGUGUACUAUCCCAUCACUGAAGCCCACAGGAACAAGUCCUACAAUUUUAAAAAGGCUCGAUGGAAAAAUUUCUCAAUCCUGAAAUCCCCUAGGGAAGGGGUCAGGAGAAAGUGCCAUGGUUGAUAUUUAAGAACUCCACAGCUCUUAAAAAUAAGCACUUAUCCCUAACAUGCAAUACUGCAGAUGCAAGUUAAACUUAUCUGUUAACAGCUGCCUGCUGUUUUCUGCUCCCAGAUGAAAUGAAGCAACUCUUCUGAUAACGAAGAGAUACCUGUCUGAGGCAAACGAAACAUUGGCACACAGCACAGCCUCCUCAAUCCACUUGAUCCCAACUCAUCUCUCAUUUAUUUCGGCUUCUUUUAUUCCAGGAUUAAUGUAGUGUAACAUUUUCAUUUCUUUUCGCUUUUAUUCUGCUUUUGUAAAAGCAGUAUUUUGAGAUGGACAUUGCCUCUUCAUUGUAUUUCUCAUCAAUUCAUUAUUUUUGUGGUUAUAGCUUGACAAGCAAUUAACUUUAAAAUGGUAGAUUCCGUAACUUUAAAUUGGUAGCUUUCAUUUGCUUAAAAUUUUUUGGCAUAUGCAGAUAAUGUUCUCAUCAGUAGUAAGAAUCUCAGGGUUAUGCUUAUUCCCCAAUGGAGGUAUGACAUAUAAUCUUUUCUGCCUUUACUUAUCAAUUCACCAAGGAGCUGUUUUCUCUGCAUCUAGGCCAUCAUACUGCCAGGCUGGUUAUGACUCAGAAGAUGUUAUCUGAAAAAAGUCUAUAGAAAAAAAAAAAGUUUCCCCUCCCUCAUCAACAAAAGCCCACCCUCUAAGAGACAUUCAAGCUGAACUAUCACAAUUCUUAAUCAGUUACAAUUUACAAACAGAUAAGUUUAAAAUAAACAAUUUACAAAAUUUUUGAAGCAUACCUUAACAUCUUGUUUUGCAGUUAAACAAUGGAAAAGUAUUUCUCCUACACUAAAAAAAAACUUGCUUACACACAACUGAAAAUAGAAUCUUACUUGAUAAUACAAAAGCUACCAUCAGAAGAAAUCCCUUCAGGAUCAUUAAGCCACUUCCUUUGCUCUGCAGUUUCUAUAGUAGUUUUAAAUUAUUAUUAAAUCACCUGAAAAAAAUUCCAAAAGAGAACCACACACUACCAUAUCCAAACAACUUUUGCAUUUCCCAUAAUUGUAGUUAAUGUCAGCCCAGUAGGCCAGACCAACCCCCAGUUCAAUACUUUCCUUCCCCAAAAGCUCUAUACUUUGAAGGAAAACAGAUACAGUAUCAAAUUAUGACACUUUCCUUGCCCAAAUUAAUGCACUGGUACACCCAGUGGCUCAUAUUUAACUUCCCCCAGCUUCCCAAUUCAAACUGGGGGGAAAAAAACUAAAUCAUUGGGAGUUACUUGCCAACUUGGAAGUUGAUAUUUCUUUACUUUUUCCAUUCUAAGACUUUAAGUUCUCUGGCAUGAGUUUAUCUGCAAUCAUAAACUAAACAAUUACCUAAACCCACCCCACCAAUCCCAACCGUAACAGGCCACUGCCAACUAAUUGCCAAUAUUUGCCCCUCCCCUUUAAUAAAACUUUUAAGAAGUCACAUUAUUGGAAAACUUAACUUCAACAUUUGGCCUACUCAAGCUCUUCUGAAGUUCUCCUGAGAUGACUGAAUAUGAACCAAAGCUGCACUGUGCUGUACUUUUCAGCUUCAACUGGGAAUACUCUUCCAAGGAUAAAAGCAGCUCCAGUCCCUGAAGGUGUUCGUGCCAACAGCACAGCGGUACACUCCUUCUCUAACCCAGUUUGUCAAUAGUACUAUAGCAUCUGUGGAAAAUCUUAGAAAAAAACAUUUUCUCCCCCACCCUCUCUCUUCCCUGUUAAGACCAUCCCAAAAUGCUUCAAGUAAAAAAUAACAAGUUUAAGGGGUUAAGCACUUUUAAAGUCUGAUUAAGGGGGUGGGGGGAAAAAAGAGUAACUACCAGCCAUUUCUCCAAUGGACAUCUCUUCCACAGACCUCAACGUGAGAACUGCUCUAGUUUCUAUAAACUGUAAACCUGUGGUGGUCUGAUUAUCCUGAUAUUGGAUUUUCUUGUUUUCUGUUACACCUUGAGUCAUUUGCCUUUAGGAUUCUAGACAGACCUAAGGGAAAAAGAACUGAAAACAUAUUUUGCCCCCACCCCCACAAAAAAAAAUACUGAAAACUCCCCCCCGCCUCAGUUACACAUCCAAACUCUACAUUUACAAAACGAAUUCAGGGUGAGGAAGUAAAAACAGGUCAUCUAUUCACAAAACUGAAAUACUUCAUUACCCCAACUAAACAUACAAACUGCUUACAGAUUUGCUGAAAUUGUCUCAAUUUGGCUAUCAAAUUCAUUUGGUUUUCCUCAAAUUCGUGUAAAAAAAAAAAACCCACAAACUUGCCAUCUACUAUUUCUCCAGGACUUGGCAGUCUGCCCUCAAAAGCUUCAGACAAGAUUCAUGAGUAUAAGCCUGAAAAAGAGAAACCUACAACACCCGGAAAUCGGCCUACGUCCCCAUAUAAAUCCCUUUACACCUCAGUACGAAACUCCCCCAUUAUAUUAGAAAAUAAAUAAAAGGUUACCAUAAGUAAGUUCCAGAAAAACAACAUAUUGCCGACCUCACGGAUUUUUACCAACCACUCGCUUUCCCUGUGGCCUUGGCACACUGGCAUGCUGGUCUAGGAUCCUCUACGCACAACGCCUGCUCGCCUCCUCCGUGUGGUUGCCAAGCCAAGCCGCCUGCUACCUUCAUCACCAAAUUGCACUCGCUCCUUCCUGGAAUCCUUUUUCCUAGCUUCACCACCAAAUCGUUAGCGCUCCUUCCUUCUUCCUAGCUUCCUUCACCAAAUCGCACUGGCUCCUGGACUCUUUUCCUAUCUUCACCACGAACUGCUGCUUGCUCGCUUGCUCCUCAGUCCUAGCUUCAUCAAACACUGGUUCCUGGAAUCCUGUCUGCUGCUGUCUUCCUAGAUUCACUGAAUCCACUUCUGUGUAGCACCUGGGUCAGCUGUCAAUUAAUGCUAGUCCUCAGGAUUUAAAAAAUAAUCUUAACUCAAAGUCCAAUGCAAAAACAUUAAGUUGGUAAUUACUCUUGAUCUUGAAUUACUUCCGUUACGAAAGUCCUUCACAUUUUUCAAACUAAGCUACUAUAUUUAAGGCCUUCCAAAUUCUUCUAACUCUUCCAAAAGCCUUCUGCCUUAGUUUUUUUUAAAUUACACCAGUCCUUUUAGUAGCUUUUUGAUGUGAUUUUUAACCAACUUCCCCUUCUAGCUUCAAGUAUUCUUCUAAAUUGGUUCUGGUCUACGUAAACACCCUCAUCUUCUCAAGCUUUACCUUCUAACUUCUGCACCACCAGAAAUUAAAUUGAUGGGCUUUUAAAAUAAAUUGGUUACCAAUAAUUUCCUCAUUUUUUCAGUGCUAUUUUAUCCAAUUUUUGGCUUUAUAUUUUUCUAUCUUCUAUACUUCUCCAAUACUUGUCUUAGCUUGUUUUUCAUUUUCUAUCUGAAACUCUUGACAAUAUUUUCAUUUUCUAUCUUGUUUCUAUCUUCCAAUUUUCUUCUAAGUUUGUACAUUUUGCCCUUAGCUUUUUGUUUCCUAGCUUGUCUUUUUUCUUCUGCUUCCUACUUUUCAGGUUUAAAUUUAUCUUUUUUCUUCUAAAAGUAUGUUUUUAUCUUCUAAUUUCCCUAUCUUCUCUAUUCUUUUCUUCGCCUUCCCGUACUUCUGUCUUCCAGUUUUCCACUUCAAACUUCUAUCUUCUCCAAAUUGUUUCAUCCUACCACUCCCAAUUAAUCUUUCCAUUUUCGUCUGCGUUUAGUAAAUGCGUUAACUAGGCUUUAAAUGACGCAAUUCUCCCUGCGUCAUGGAUUUCAAGGUCUUUUAAUCACCUUCGGUUUAAUCUCUUUUUAAAAGAUCGCCUUCAAAUUAUUUUAAUCACCUACAACUUUUAAACUAAACUUUAAGCUGUUUAAGUCACCUUCAUUUUAAUCUAAAAGCAUUGCCCUUCUAUUGGUAUUAAUUCGGGGCUCUGUAGUCCUUUCUCUCAAUUUUCUUUUAAAUACAUUUUUUACUCCAUGAAGAAGCUUCAU